rnacentral:rRNA from 1 species
GGGUGUGGCCUCGGUCGCAUCCGUCUUGCUCUGUGAUGACUCUGGAUAACUUUACCGAUCGCAGUCGGCCUCGUGUCGGCGAUGGAUCUUUCAAAUGUCUGUCUUAUCAAUUUACGAUGGUAGGUGACCUGCCUACCACGGUGAUAACGGGUAACGGGGAAUCAGGGUUCGAUUCCGGAGAAGGAGCCUGAGAGACGGCUACUACUUCCAAGGAAGGCAGCAGGCGCGCAAAUUACCCACUCCCAGAACGGGGAGGUAGUGACGAAAAAUACGGAUACGGGACUCAAAAGAGGCUCCGUAAUUCGAAUGAGUACAAUUUAAAUCCUUUAACGAGGAUCAACUGGAGGGCAAGUCUGGUGCCAGCAGCCGCGGUAAUUCCAGCUCCAGUGGCAUAUAUUAAAGUUGUUGCAGUUAAAAAGCUCGUAGUUGGAUCUGGGUGGGAUGGCUGUGCGCUGUGCUUGCAUUCUCGGUCUGGUUCUACCGGGUCGGGUUGGUGAGUCGGUGUUGCGGUCGUUCUAUCUUUCUGCCGUGUCUGUGCAAACAGGUGCUGACUUCGGUUGGCAUGCUCCCGGAUGCCUUUCAACGGGUGUCGGGGGCGGACGGCAUGUUUACUUUGAACAAAUUUGAGUGCUCAAAGCAGGCCGGUGAGCCUGAAAAGUCUUGCAUGGAAUAAUGGAAUAGGACUUCGGUCCUAUUUUGUUGGUUUUCGGAUCCGAAGUAAUGGUUAAGAGGGACAGACGGGGGCAUUUGUAUGGCGGCGUU